rnacentral:rRNA from 1 species
CAGUCGCCACGGGAAUACGAAGGGGGCUAGCGUUGUUCGGAAUCACUGGGCGUAAAGGGUGCGUAGGCGGGAUCUUAAGUCAGGGGUGAAAUCCCGAGGCUCAACCUCGGAACUGCCUUUGAUACUGGGGUCCUUGAGUCCGGAAGAGGUGAGUGGAACUGCGAGUGUAGAGGUGAAAUUCGUAGAUAUUCGCAAGAACACCGGUGGCGAAGGCGGCUCACUGGUCCGGAACUGACGCUGAGGCACGACAGCGUGGGGAGCAAACAGGAUUAGAUACCCGUGUAGUCCCUGUCUCUUAUAC